CCUUAGUCCCUUAUUUUGACUCUGUAGAUGUCCCUGGCAAGUCGCUCCCGGAACAGGGACACUCUCCGGUUCUUCCAUGAACCCCCCCCUCGGUUCUUUUUGGACAACCCCCGACUUCUGAAGUUCUUCCAUGAACCCCUCCCAGUUUUUUUUGGUGAACUCCCUUGGUUCUCUUUGGAGAACCCCUAACUUGUCCAAUUCUUUUGAGAACCCCCAACACAGUGUGCUGAUCAUGCAGAGUUUUGACGUUACAGAGAUCCCCUUGGUGAAUUUAAGUACAGCUACUGGAAUAAAGAGAUGGGUUUUUUGGGAACAACCACCUUGGCUAGAGUAUGUCGGCAUGGGACACGCUAUACCAGAAGUCAUCUUAUAUACAAAAACUAACUCUGGUAUUCCUGGCAUUUACCAUUUUGAGAGACAAGCUAAGGACAGCAAUCAGGCCAACAAUUUGUUUGUGCCUUUCAAUUGGACUGGACUAGUUGAGGCACCCCCAGUGUGCCUUGCAGGAGACCAUCCUGAAUGCUUGUCCCUCAAAUCUCUGCAGGCACAUUAUUAUGGUCAUCCUGACCCAUCAGACUCUUUCUGGAUAGGACCUUAUCGUGUAGACAAAGGGGCAAAAUAUGAAGGUUACCGCCAACUGCAAUAUUUAGGUUGGCUAGGGGAAUCUUGUGAUAGUACUUGGGGACAAGAAAGACCUAUUUGUCCUUAUGUGAUGGAAUACAAACAAGGAGACACUGUUAAUAGUUUCCGCCCUUGCUAUCGUGCAGAUCUAAGAGGGCGUCAUGUAUUCAUUGGAGAAAUACGACCUGGGUGUCUUGGCAUAACGACACAAGGUGUAUUGGAAAGAAACUGGAUUCUUAUAAAUUUCAUGAUUGUUUUAUAGGAGGAUACAGCUUGCCUUUAUGGGUGAUGGCCCCCAGAGCUAAUUGGUUACGUUCUGCUAAUUUCACACAGAUUUUGACUGAUUAUGGAAAGAUAGUCCUGGCAUUGGAUAAAGUAAAUAUGUCUCAUUAUGUUAAUAUUACUAAUAAUGAUAAAGUUCAAAAACCAGUAAAUAGAAGUGUUAGACAUUCAAGUUUGCCUAACAGGGGGAUAUGCUUUUUUAACUACAGUAAAAGAUCAUCCUGAAGCUGUGAAGCUUUGAACAUUACUGCAAUAACAAACAGAUAUU
rnacentral:lncRNA from 1 species